rnacentral:pre_miRNA from 1 species
AGUGGGAUAGCUGGGUCAAAUGGUAGUUUCAUUCCAAGUUUUCUGAGGAAUCUCCAUACUGCUUUCCAUAAUGGCUACAUCAAUUUGCAGUCCCACCAGCAAU